CAGAGGUACAAAGUCACAGACCCAGAGGCACAAGGUCACAAACCCAGAGGUACAAAGUCACAGACCCAGAGGCACAAACCGAGUCACAGACCCAGAGGCACAAAGUCACAGACCCAGAGGCACAAAGUCACAAACCCAGAGGCACAAACCCAGAGGUACAAAGUCACAGACCCAGAGGUACAAAGUCACAGACCCAGAGGCACAAAGUCACAGACCCAGAGGCACAAACCGAGUCACAGACCCAGAGGUACAAAGUCACAGACCCAGAGAGGCUUUUCCCAGCCCUGAGCCCGUGCUUGGCCAGGAAACCAGGCCAGGAGAAGGAAUUUGGAGCUUCAGGAGCAGCCGUGCAGCCCAAACCCCCCUGAGCCAGCCUGGGGAUGGGAUUUAGCAGAGUUUGUCCCCACAGGAUCCUCUGCUGGCUCUCAGCAUCCCAGCCUGCAGAGUUCCACCGCUCCAGGGACUCACUCCGUGGUCAGGAGGAAGAAAGAGCUCAGGGUUACCCGGAGUAAUUGGAACUGCACGACCCCAAAGCUUCUCGCCGGAGAAUCACAAAAGGCUCAGGCUGCUCCUGCAAAUCCUCCCAGAGCCGCCUCAGAGAUUCAGAAAUUCUGCUCAAACAGCCCCAGCACAGAGCCCUGCCUCGCCUUUCAUCCUCACAUGCUCCUGUGCCUUCCAAAGGAGAUAAAAUGGAAUUAAAAACUGCCCCGGCAGAACCUCGUCAGGAACCCAUGGUUCUGCUCCGCUCCAGAACAGCGAAAUCCUGAUUUAUUCAUGGCAAAGUGCAGCACGCAUAACAAAUGGCGGAGAAAUUAAAGGAUGUGCUGAUUUGGAAACGA